rnacentral:sRNA from 1 species
GCUGGGGAUGGUGGUGCACGCCUGUAAUCCCAGCAGCUUGGGAGGCUGAGGCAGGAGGAUUGUGAGUUCAAAACCAGCCUCAGCAAAAGAAGGUGCUCAGCAACUCAGUGAGAUCCUGGCUCUA